GAUUUUGUUACGGUCCUUUAUUUGCGGUACGGUUUUUAACUAUGGAAUUUAUUGAUACACCAGCUACGAAAUUUUGGAAUGAUGAGAAAUCAUGCACAAGAAAACGUUUUACAUAAGGCCAAGAUAGUGCCAGCAGCCGCGGUCAUACUAGCCUAGGGAGUAAAUAAUAUAAGUGAUGUAUGGCUGGUAUAAGUAUAUUACGGCGGUGAAAUAUGCUCUAUAUAAUUGCUAACAUAAGUCUUGAUAAUACAACAAAUACCAACGCAAACAAGGAUUAGAUACCCUUCUAUGUGGUACGAAAAAAAUAUUCACUGGGUAUUAAAGUACCUACCCAAACUCAAAUAACAUGGCGGUAAUUUUAAAGCUUAGGGGAACUUACCUAAUAAAUGAUAACCACCAAGCGAAGCUACUUUAAGUCAGAUUUUGUAUGCCGUCGUCUAGAUUAAAUAUUAUAUUUAAUCCUAAGUUAUGCUUAACUAAUGACAGAUCUUGGUGCAGACCAUCUUAUAGAUAAGGCGAGUUACAUUAACAAAUUAUUCCUAUCGGUAGAUCUAUAAAACCCAAAUAGUUGGACUUAAUAGUAAGGAUUAUAUUAUAAAUACUACCUGAAUCUAAAUAAAAUUGUGC
rnacentral:rRNA from 1 species